GUAUGCCUAACACAUGCAAGUCGAACGAAGUCUUCGGACUUAGUGGCGGACGGGUGAGUAACGCGUGAGAAUCUGCCUUGAGGAUGGGGACAACAGUUGGAAACGACUGCUAAUACCCGAUGUGCCGGAAGGUGAAAAUUUUUUGCCUCAAGAGGAGCUCGCGUCUGAUUAGCUAGUUGGUGGGGUAAAAGCGUACCAAGGCAACGAUCAGUAGCUGGUCUGAGAGGAUGAGCAGCCACACUGGGACUGAGACACGGCCCAGACUCCUACGGGAGGCAGCAGUGGGGAAUUUUCCGCAAUGGGCGAAAGCCUGACGGAGCAAUACCGCGUGAGGGAGGAAGGCCUUUGGGUUGUAAACCUCUUUUCUCAGGGAAGAAGAUCUGACGGUACCUGAGGAAUAAGCAUCGGCUAACUCCGUGCCAGCAGCCGCGGUAAUACGGAGGAUGCAAGCGUUAUCCGGAAUUAUUGGGCGUAAAGCGUCCGCAGGUGGUCUUUCAAGUCUGCUGUCAAAGACCAGAGCUUAACUCUGGGCAGGCGGUGGAAACUGAGAGACUAGAGUUCGGUAGGGGUAGCGGGAAUUCCCAGUGUAGCGGUGAAAUGCGUAGAUAUUGGGAAGAACAUCGGUGGCGAAGGCGCGCUACUGGACCGAAACUGACACUCAGGGACGAAAGCUAGGGUAGCGAAAGGGAUUAGAUACCCCUGUAGUCCUAGCUGUAAACGAUGGAAACUAGGUGUGGCUUGUAUCGACCCGAGCCGUGCCGUAGCCAACGCGUUAAGUUUCCCGCCUGGGGAGUACGCACGCAAGUGUGAAACUCAAAGGAAUUGACGGGGGCCCGCACAAGCGGUGGAGUAUGUGGUUUAAUUCGAUGCAACGCGAAGAACCUUACCAGGGCUUGACAUGUCCGGAACUUUUCUGAAAGGAGAAGGUGCCUUCGGGAACCGGAACACAGGUGGUGCAUGGCUGUCGUCAGCUCGUGUCGUGAGAUGUUGGGUUAAGUCCCGCAACGAGCGCAACCCUCGUCUUUAGUUGCCAGCAUUAAGGUGGGCACUCUAGAGAGACUGCCGGUGACAAACCGGAGGAAGGUGAGGAUGACGUCAAGUCAGCAUGCCCCUUACGCCCUGGGCUACACACGUACUACAAUGGUUGGGACAAAGGGCAGCGAACCCGCGAGGGAGAGCGAAUCUCAUCAAACCCAGCCUCAGUUCAGAUUGCUCUCUGCAACUCGAGAGCAUGAAGGAGGAAUCGCUAGUAAUCGCAGGUCAGCAUACUGCGGUGAAUUCGUUCCCGGGCCUUGUACACACCGCCCGUCACACCAUGGAAGCUGGUCACGCCCGAAGUAGUUACCCUAACUUUCGAGAGGGGGACUCCUAAGGCAGGGCUAGUGACUGGGGUGAAGUCGUAACAAGGU
rnacentral:rRNA from 1 species